UACGGAGGGUGCGAGCGUUAAUCGGAAUUACUGGGCGUAAAGGGUGCGUAGGUUGUUUAGGAAGUUAUCUGUGAAAUUCCUGGGCUUAACCUGGGGAGGUCAGAUAAGACUAUUAGACUAGAGUAUAGGAGAGGGUAGUGGAAUUUCCGGUGUAGCGGUGAAAUGCGUAGAGAUCGGAAGGAACACCAGUGGCGAAGGCGGCUACCUGGCCUAAUACUGACACUGAGGCACGAAAGCGUGGGGAGCAAACAGG
rnacentral:rRNA from 1 species